CUCUUACUGUCCGGAAUCCAGUGGUCCUUAGUGGGCGGGUUUACUCUGGCAGAGUUUCUGUUUGAAAUAGUUGGUAUUAAGUUGAUUCUGUCGCUGUUCGGA
rnacentral:snRNA from 1 species